GUUUUGGGCUCAGUGGUAGAGCGCUUGCCUAGCAUGCAGGAGGCACUGGGUUCGAUCCCUGGCACCACA
rnacentral:tRNA from 1 species